rnacentral:piRNA from 1 species
UAGCAAACCACAGUUGUCAGGUCUCAUG